CUGGAAAGCCAUCUUUCAAAAAGCUCUCAUGCAUUGUUGAUUGCCUAGCAACAAAUGAGUACAUCGAUGUGGUCGGUGUACUGAUAGAUGUUGCAGAACAAAAGCAAAGAAACAAACGUCAACAACCGACCUCUUCCAACAUUAUAGGAGAUCGUGUUCAAGAGAUUGUAAUCGUAACUGAGGAAUUGCUACCGACAAGACUGACCUUAUGGAAUGAAUUGGUGGACGCUGAAGGAAAAUACUUCACAUCCAUUGUGAAGGAAAGACCUAUCAUUGCGGCCCUCCACCUGAAAGCAACACUAUAUGCAGGUAGUUUAUGCAUCAACCGUAUUUGACUGAACACAUAUAAAUUAUUGUCAAUACUUGUAUCGUAGUCCACCUAAUGACCAUUUCACUUCAUUUGAUUCUAUAUUCGUAUGUGAAGGAAUUUCGUUGUCUGCAAUUUCCAUGGCAAAUUUUAUUGUUGAUCCUCCAUAUCCUGAAGCUGACAAUCUAUUGAGCUGGAAACUCAAUAAUAAGGUAUGC